rnacentral:lncRNA from 1 species
GUGGUGACUUGCAAACAGAGAAUCAAUUCAUUUCUGAAAUCUGGUGCAUCUUGGACUCAACGACUUCACAAACGUGGGUUGCAGCUCCAUGUGAUGCAAUUGGCCACAAGAAAUUGGCAUCCUGGUUAUGCAUUCCUUGCUGGUUCAAGUCUGAUAAAAGGUACUGCCGUCUGGACCUUGUUCUAUUGGCAGUGGAUGGUUUGUGUGCUACUUCUCCGACCCUGGGAUCCUGGUGUUAGCUGCCAAUGCACGCAUUGAAGCCCUUGGUUCAGGUGCAUGAUGCUUGAGUGGCCAUCACUACUCAGAGAGAACCGACAGCUCUGCCUCUGCAUACAAACAGCACAUGUGAAACUACAUACGGAAUAGGCAUGAAAAUUUGCUCUAAUUACAGCAGAUAAAAAAAGAAUACGUUCUUAUAAUAGACAGUUGAUUAGGGAUAAGAAGGGAUGAUCUCUUCGUGGUCAUGGCAAGGCGCCAAAGACCAUCAACUCAAACACAAACCAACUUCUCCUUCUGGUCGGAGCUACAGGAGCACACAGCACAAUGCUCACCCAAACAGAGAAGGUGGUCUCUUCCUUUUCUUCAGAUUGAAAUGUUCUAGAAUAUGGAUAAUCAAAUUCUCCUUUAACAUAUUGCUGAAUCAUUCUAUGGCCAUGAGCUUUCUAUCAUGACCAUGAUGAACUACUACUUACAUGAGAACUGUCGCAGUUACUUCAAUAACAUAUUACUGCAGUGCUGAUAGUUGAAGAAACACUGAAAAUAUGCCAAAAAAACAUGGCGCAAGAGGGGACGAAUUUCAGUUAAAAGUCCAGUUGUGGUUUAGGGAGCGGAGGAGAAGUGGGCUGUUGGUUCUCACCUGCAGCUUGCGGAAGUGCGAAACGUAGGAGACCUCUUCUUGCCGCUGCCGCUUGGGACCUCUUCUUGCCGCCGCCGCUGGUUCUUGGCUGUUGGUUCUAGCAGAUGUUUCUGCCCUGGGUGUGCGUUCAUCCGGAAAUCAAGAUCCACCGGAGACAGAGAAGCGGAGUGGUGGUAGGGUUAGAGGCCACCGGUCCUGUAAACCUUAGCUCGUGGAGGACCCAGGGAGAGGAAGGAGGGGAGUCACCGCCGCAGGGAAAGGGGAGUGGUCGCCGUCGAGCUGCACAUCGCCGGAAGGGGGCGGGAGAAGGGUGCUGGGAGGCGAGGUCAGGGAAGAAUCUUUGGACGACGGCCCAAGUUCAGGCCCGGUCUCACAAGCCUUCGACGACGCUGGGAUAGUCC